UUCCAUAGAUACUGCCUGGCCUGCUGAGUUCCUGCAGCAAAUUGUGUAUACUGCUUGGAUUUUGUUGAAGUUGUAUAAUAGUGUGGAAUGAACUGCCAGCAGAAGUGGUACAUGUGCGCUUGAUUUCAAUUUGAAGGCUGGAGAGAAAAACCUUGCAGAAAACUUCUGGCAGAAUGACAAGUACCUUGACUCAGGGAGUAGGUGCCAUGAUGGAAUGGCAGAGCUGCCUUGGUAUGGUAGAUUUUCAACAGACCAAACCAAAAUGAAGACAACGGGGCAUUCAAGACAAGCCAGGGAAAUGAAUACAGAGAAGCACAAACCUGGGGAAGGGUACAAGACCAUCUCAAAGACAUUGACCAUACCUCAAAGCUCACUGUAGUCCAUCAUGAAUAAGUGGAAAAAUAUGAAACCACAGCACACUGCUUAGGUCAGGUGUCCUGUAAACGUUACCACCCAAUUAAACAUCUCCGGCAAGACCUCAAGAUUGCUGUCCACUGUCACUUCCUAACUAACCUGGCAAAGAUUGAGCAAAUUUGUUGUGAAGAACUGACAAAUCUUGCUCUGUCACAUUGUGCAAAACUGAUAGAGACUUGUCCAAAAAGGUCUGUAAUGGAUGUAAGAGGUGGUUCAACUACGUACUGAGCAAAGGGAGAUGAAUACUUUUGAUUAAGUGAGUUUUUGUAUUUUUAGUUUUUCAGAUUUACACUUUUUCCUGUUUUGGGGGCCUGUGGAAAAAAAAAAGGAUUAUGUGAUUCUCAAAUAAAAAUUCUCAGUUAAAUUGAUCAAAAUCCCUGGUUGUUAUAUUCAUGGAUGUGAAUAUAGGGAUGUGGGGUGAAUAC